GAUGAACUGAGCUCUGAGGCAGAACGUGUAACGAAUCCUCUGACAGAGCAUUCUCCGAACACAACAGGAUAUGAUGUUACAGUGUGUCCAAAGCUCUUAUUACUCUUUGUGCACAGGAUUAAGAUCCACACAAUGACUACAUAAAAGCACGGAUGAGACGAGUUGGUGAAGGCAAAAGUACUCAGGUUACACAUUACACACAUGAUUAGGCUUCAGGCACACUCUGGGUAACUACAAUAAUUCACUACAAUAACACCAACUGAAUUAUGAAGCUUUCCGAAGGUUUUAAGGUGUUUCAGAUGGUUCCCAGGGUGUAGCUAUGCAGUUCUGAGUGCUUUAUAAGGCAAUAAUUGAUGGUUGCUUACUGGUCCAAGUCUGUAUAAUAUGUUUGUUUCUCCUUCAAGGUAUAUCUAUUGGAUUUCUUCCCAAGUUUUAUCAUACGCCAGACAUAUAUUGUAAAUUUCAUGACUUGAGCACAGUUUUUGUCAACAAGUAGCAUGAUGUAUCUGUUGCAUAAAUGGUGCACACCAAAGUUUAUUAUGUCAGAUUAGGGGUUUGUUUAAAUUUCUACCUUUAACCUUGGGUGUGAGAAACGCAGAGUAACAGAGAGCAGCAAUGCUUGGCAUCCAGCAGACAAAAGGGUGGGACUGGCAGGAAAAGCAAUGAUGAGUAAAGCUCAAGUUCUCCUUUAUGAGCCCCACGUCUUGAUUACAGUAAGGCUCAGACUUGAGGAACUUUUUUCAGGAUUACUGCCAGUUUCCUCCAGCACACACACACACACACACACACAGAGUGGGCUGAGACUAUAAUGAGAGCGGUAUGAAGGGAUGAUGUUGAAGACUGGCCGAGCCAGUCAGGGAUAAACAGUGGGGAGUUUCCUUCAGAUUCUACGAUCUGCUCUUCUGGUUUGUCUCUGUUCGGCAGUCCGUUCUGCUUUGAUCCCAGAGAAGCUAAAAGAGGCUAUAAAAAGGUAAGGAUUCCUGUUUUUAUGAUGUACGCAGAGGUUUUUUUAAAGAAUCUAGUACUCAGUUAUAUAUCAGAGGAAAGUUAUUUGUCAAACUGUU
ensembl:lncRNA